CUACACAUGCAGUCGAACGGUACAGGUAGCAUACUGCUGACGAGUGGCGCACGGGUGAGUAACGCGUAUGCAACCUACCUUUGACUGGGGGAUAGCCCGGAGAAAUUCGGAUUAAUACCCCAUACCACUGAUUAAUCGCAUGGUUGAUCAGUGAAAACUACGGUGGUUAAAGAUGGGCAUGCGUGACAUUAGCUAGUUGGUGAGGUAACGGCUCACCAAGGCUACGAUGUCUAGGGGGCCUGAGAGGGUAGUCCCCCACACUGGUACUGAGACACGGACCAAGACUCCUACGGGAGGCAGCACGUGAGGAAUAUUGCGCAAUGGAGGCAACUCUGACGCAGCCAUGCCGCGUGCAGGAUGACGGCCCUACGGGUUGUAAACUGCUUUUGUAUAGGAAGAAACCCGAAUACGUGUAUUCGGUUGA
rnacentral:rRNA from 1 species